rnacentral:rRNA from 1 species
GACGAACGCUGGCGGCGUGCCUAAUACAUGCAAGUCGAGCGAACAGACGAGGAGCUUGCUCCUCUGACGUUAGCGGCGGACGGGUGAGUAACACGUGGAUAACCUACCUAUAAGACUGGGAUAACUUCGGGAAACCGGAGCUAAGACCGGAUAAUAUAUUGAACUGCAUGGUUCAAUAGUGAAAGACGGUUUUGCUGUCACUUAUAGAUGGAUCCGCGCCGCAUUAGCUAGUUGGUAAGGUAACGGCUUACCAAGGCAACGAUGCGUAGCCGACCUGAGAGGGUGAUCGGCCACACUGGAGCUGAGACACGGUCCAGACUCCUACGGGAGGCAGCAGUAGGGAAUCUUCCGCAAUGGGCGAAAGCCUGAAGGAGCAACGGCGCGUGAGUGAUGAAGGUCUUCGGAUCGUAAAACUCUGUUAUUAGGGAAGAACAAAUGUGUAAGUAACUAUGCACGUCUUGACGGUACCUAAUCAGAAAGCCACGGCUAACUACGU